GAUGAAGAACGCAGCGAAAUGCGAUAAGUAAUGUGAAUUGCAGAAUUCAGUGAAUCAUCGAAUCUUUGAACGCACAUUGCGCCCGCCAGUAUUCUGGCGGGCAUGCCUGUUCGAGCGUCAUUACAACCCUCAGGCCCCCGGGCCUGGCGUUGGGGAUCGGCGGAAGCCCCCUGCGGGCACAACGCCGUCCCCCAAAUACAGUGGCGGUCCCGCCGCAGCUUCCAUUGCGUAGUAGCUAACACCUCGCAACUGGAGAGCGGCGCGGCCACGCCGUAAAACACCCAACUUCUGAAUGUUGACCUCGAAUCAGGUAGGAAUACCCGCUGAACUUAAGCAUAUCAAUAAGGGAGG
rnacentral:misc_RNA from 1 species